rnacentral:rRNA from 1 species
UGGGGAAUCUUAGACAAUGGGCGCAAGCCUGAUCUAGCCAUGCCGCGUGAGCGAUGAAGGCCUUAGGGUUGUAAAGCUCUUUCGUGGGGGAAGAUAAUGACUGUACCCCAAGAAGAAGCCCCGGCUAACUCCGUGCCAGCAGCCGCGGUAAUACGGAGGGGGCUAGCGUUGUUCGGAAUUACUGGGCGUAAAGCGCACGUAGGCGGACCAGAAAGUCAGAGGUGAAAUCCCAGGGCUCAACCUUGGAACUGCCUUUGAAACUCCUGGUCUUGAGGUCGAGAGAGGUGAGUGGAAUUCCGAGUGUAGAGGUGAAAUUCGUAGAUAUUCGGAGGAACACCAGUGGCGAAGGCGGCUCACUGGCUCGAUACUGACGCUGAGGUGCGAAAGCGUGGGGAGCAAACAGG